rnacentral:lncRNA from 1 species
CGGCAGCAUCCAGCGCCAUCCCCCAAGAAUCACAACACAUGCUUGGCGAGCCAGCAUGCAUGCCAUGGAUGGACCACACAGGAUCCUUGCUUGACCUCCCCAGCAUGCGCAGGUCAAGGGCUGUCAGGCUCCCUGUGCAGCAAAGAAGAAGAAAAAACUUCCUAGGCAGGGGAAACUCUCCCUGCAUCAACAAAGGGAGACACUUUGGCUCAAAGAACUGUGAUUCUCCCACACAAGAGGAUGAGAGGGAAGUUGAUGUGAAUCUGGCGGGACUCUGGCUCCUGUGCAAAAAAAAAAGCGGGACAGACACAGUCACAAAUACUCAUCAUAGUUAAAAGUGAUGAGACGGCUAUAAGGGCACGCAAGCAUCUGAGCGGACGUGUCAAUGGAGUUUGAUGGAAGCCAUCAGGCUGCAUGCACACAGACUGAGACACACCUCCUCGCUUGAGGGACCUGAGCAAGCAUGAGCAAGAAAGAUUCCCAUUGGACCAAACCAUGGGACAGACAUUUGCAUCACGCACGCAAUCUUGUAAGGAAGAUGAGACUGCUCAAUUGAUUUGGGUCACCCCCAUCGCUGGAAACCCUUAAGGAUCGUCAUCAGCACAUGUAGACCCUCAAUCUGCCCAUGGUGAGGUUGCCUUAUUCAAACUGACAUGUAAGGUUUUGUGGAGGGACACUGGGGGAGCAUGUUUUUUUAAUGUCAGCAGUCCUCCUGCAACAAAGAAGUAUCAAUUGGAGCGGUGAGCCCCCGUUAUGCACAUGUGUAUGUCACGUACUAAUAUCUUGCUUUGUUAAAAAAUGCAUGGAUUUGGUCAAAAGGUGACCGUUAUGGCACCUUUAUGCAGGAUUUUCUCUCAAAGCCAUGGCUGAACAUCUGUGCUUGACGGCUUUUUUCACUCAGCUUUUGGGCAGCGAUAACCUUUGGUACAGGGGGAAAUCACCCAAUUUGGUGCAUUGGGUAGUUCGGAAUGGAUGUGUAGUGGUGAAUAGAAGGGUCUAUGCCAUGGCUGACUGGGCAGAUGCUCUGCAACUGGAAUUUCGCCAUGCUUCACAAGAGGAAAACAAACCUGGUGCCAUCUGGGACACUGUACAUGGUCAUGCACAGGAGGCCUUUUUUGAGGCCACGUGUCACCCUCACCUGGGUAAAGCAAUUUCUGAAUUCGUCAUUAAUGAGAAUAUUCUUGGUCAUUUUCAGGUUAGCAAACUCAAAACAUGACAUGAAAUAAGUACAAAAAAACUGACACACCAGCAGCCAAAAAAGCACCGCACCUGAGUCAUCGCCAUACACAAGCAGGGUGCCUGCACCAGUGUUGGCACACAGUUGCAUGGAGGUAGG